rnacentral:rRNA from 1 species
ACUCAAAUGAAUUGACGGGGACCCGCACAAGCGGUGGAUUAUGUGGAUUAAUUCGAUGCAACGCGAAAAACCUUACCUACCCUUGACAUGUCCGGAAGCCUGGGGAAACCCGGGUGUGCCCGAAAGGGAACUGGAACACAGGUGCUGCAUGGCUGUCGUCAGCUCGUGUCGUGAGAUGUUGGGUUAAGUCCCGCAACGAGCGCAACCCUUGUCAUUAGUUGCUCCAUUCAGUUGAGCACUCUAAUGAGACUGCCGGUGACAAACCGGAGGAAGGUGGGGAUGACGUCAAGUCCUCAUGGCCCUUAUGGGUAGGGCUUCACACGUAAUACAAUGGCGCGUACAGAGGGUUGCGAAGCCGCGAGGUGGAGCCAAUCCCGACAAAGCGCGUCGUAGUCCGGAUUGCAGUCUGCAACUCGACUGCAUGAAGUCGGAAUCGCUAGUAAUCGCGGAUCAGCAUGUCGCGGUGAAUACGUUCCCGGGUCUUGCACACACCGCCCGU